ACACAUGCAAGUCGAGGGGAAACGACAUCGAAAGCUUGCUUUUGAUGGGCGUCGACCGGCGCACGGGUGAGUAACGCGUAUCCAACCUGCCCAUCACUUGGGGAUAACCUUGCGAAAGUAAGACUAAUACCCAAUGACGUCUCUAGAAGACAUCUGAAAGAGAUUAAAGAUUUAUCGGUGAUGGAUGGGGAUGCGUCUGAUUAGCUUGUUGGCGGGGUAACGGCCCACCAAGGCGACGAUCAGUAGGGGUUCUGAGAGGAAGGUCCCCCACAUUGGAACUGAGACACGGUCCAAACUCCUACGGGAGGCAGCAGUGAGGAAUAUUGGUCAAUGGACGAGAGUCUGAACCAGCCAAGUAGCGUGCAGGAUGACGGCCCUAUGGGUUGUAAACUGCUUUUAUAAGGGAAUAAAGUUAGUCUCGUGAGACUUUUUGCAUGUACCUUAUGAAUAAGGACCGGCUAAUUCCGUGCCAGCAGCCGCGGUAAUACGGAAGGUCCGGGCGUUAUCCGGAUUUAUUGGGUUUAAAGGGAGCGUAGGCCGGAGAUUAAGCGUGUUGUGAAAUGUAGACGCUCAACGUCUGCACUGCAGCGCGAACUGGUUUCCUUGAGUACGCACAAAGUGGGCGGAAUUCGUGGUGUAGCGGUGAAAUGCUUAGAUAUCACGAAGAACUCCGAUUGCGAAGGCAGCUCACUGGAGCGCAACUGACGCUGAAGCUCGAAAGUGCGGGUAUCGAACAGGAUUAGAUACCCUGGUAGUCCGCACGGUAAACGAUGGAUGCCCGCUGUUGGUCUGAAUAGGUCAGCGGCCAAGCGAAAGCAUUAAGCAUCCCACCUGGGGAGUACGCCGGCAACGGUGAAACUCAAAGGAAUUGACGGGGGCC
rnacentral:rRNA from 1 species